GAUGAACGCUAGCUACAGGCUUAACACAUGCAAGUCGAGGGGCAGCAGGGAUUUAGCUUGCUAAAUUCGCUGGCGACCGGCGCACGGGUGCGUAACGCGUAUCCAACCUUCCCGAUACUCUUGGAUAGCCUUCCGAAAGGGAGAUUAAUACAAGAUGGUGUUUCACUUUCGCAUGUUAUUGAAACUAAAGAUUUAUCGGUAUCGGAUGGGGAUGCGUGACAUUAGAUAGUAGGCGGGGUAACGGCCCACCUAGUCUACGAUGUCUAGGGGUUCUGAGAGGAAGGUCCCCCACACUGGAACUGAGACACGGUCCAG
rnacentral:rRNA from 1 species